UACAGAGGUCUCAAGCGUUGUUCGGAUUCAUUGGGCGUAAAGGGUGUGUAGGUGGCGCGCUAAGUCGGGUGUGAAAUUUCGGAGCUUAACUCCGAAACUGCAUUCGAUACUGGCGUGCUUGAGGACUGGAGAGGAGACUGGAAUUUACGGUGUAGCGGUGAAAUGCGUAGAUAUCGUAAGGAAGACCAGUGGCGAAGGCGGGUCUCUGGACAGUUCCUGACGCUGAGGCACGAAGGCAGGGGAGCAAACGGG
rnacentral:rRNA from 1 species